rnacentral:lncRNA from 1 species
UUGUUUCUUUUAGAGAUAUAUUUCUUUGGCCGGGAUAUUAGGAAUAUGAGAGAGUGCCAUGACAACUCUGGAGGACCAGAGCUUGCUGAGAGCCGUUCCUGCAAGUGGUUCUGUGACUCGGAAACUGACAACAGCUGCAUGCAAAGGAACAAAGAAUGAGACUGACAAUUUGGAGUGUGAGCAGGGCUUGCUGCAAACUGUUUUCAACUCUCCUCAUUCAAUCCAGCAGCCAGAGGCCUAUGAAGCUCUGUCAUUUCAUGAGAUUCAGUCACACAUACCUGAAGCCAUAUAUACCUCUCAAACCGGGGCAAUGAUUGGCUGGUGUAAUAUCUCUUGUUCAGUUAUCAACGCUUAUAUGAACUACUAUAUGGGUAAGGUUUAA